UCAACACAGUCACAGGCCCGGCUGCCCGUUGUGCCCACCAUGCCUGGCUGCUCCCGAGUGGCCAAUACAUAGAGCCCAGGGCACUACACAUGCUUUGGAGCUCUUCUUCAGGCCCACCUUGCAUCAGAGACAUCGAAGGGGAAACAACACAUAGAAAAGCAGCAGGAGGAGGAGUGAAAAAGAAUGAUCCAGAAAGGCCAGUAAACCCGCCCGGGCUCCGGAUCUGCUAUCUGGAUCAGAUCUGGAUCUCCAUCUCCAAGAAAGGGGCCCCGGAAGUUUGGGCAGGAAUGCGGAGGCAACUCUGUGGAACAGGAGGGACCCCAGAAUAAGGUAGGACAGAGGCAAAGACAAUGGGGGUCUCUGGGGGAGGUGUACAGUUAAGAA